UGAUUUCCGACAAGUCUUUCUUCAUUUUUAGAACAAGAAAUUUUUAGAGCAAGAAAGCAGAACCGAAAGAAAAUAAUAUUCAAUUUCUAUGACAAAUCUGGUUCGAUGGCUGUUCUCCACUAACCACAAGGAUAUAGGGACUUUAUAUUUCAUCUUCGGUGCCAUUGCUGGAGUGAUGGGCACAUGCUUCUCAGUACUGAUUCGUAUGGAAUUAGCACGACCGGGCGAUCAAAUUCUUGGUGGGAAUCAUCAACUUUAUAAUGUUUUAAUAACGGCUCACGCUUUUUUAAUGAUCUUUUUUAUGGUUAUGCCGGCGAUGAUAGGUGGAUUUGGUAAUUGGUUUGUUCCGAUUCUGAUAGGUGCACCUGACAUGGCAUUUCCACGAUUAAAUAAUAUUUCAUUCUGGUUGUUGCCACCAAGUCUCUUACUCCUAUUAAGCUCAGCCUUAGUGGAAGUGGGCAGCGGCACUGGGUGGACGGUCUAUCCGCCCUUAAGUGGUAUUACCAGCCAUUCUGGAGGAGCAGUUGAUUUAGCAAUUUUUAGUCUUCAUCUAUCUGGUGUUUCAUCCAUUUUAGGUUCUAUCAAUUUUAUAACAACUAUCUUCAACAUGCGUGGACCUGGAAUGACUAUGCAUAGAUUACCCCUAUUUGUGUGGUCCGUUCUAGUGACAGCAUUCCUACUUUUAUUAUCACUUCCGGUACUGGCAGGGGCAAUUACCAUGUUAUUAACCGAUCGAAACUUUAAUACAACCUUUUUUGAUCCCGCUGGAGGGGGAGACCCCAUAUUAUACCAGCAUCUCUUUUGGUUCUUCGGUCACCCUGAAGUUUACAUUCUAAUUCUGCCGGGAUUCGGUAUCAUAAGUCAUAUCGUUUCGACUUUUUCGGGAAAACCGGUUUUCGGGUAUCUAGGCAUGGUUUAUGCCAUGAUCAGUAUAGGUGUUCUUGGAUUUCUUGUUUGGGCUCAUCAUAUGUUUACUGUGGGCUUAGACGUUGAUACCCGUGCCUACUUCACCGCAGCUACCAUGAUCAUAGCUGUCCCCACUGGAAUCAAAAUCUUUAGUUGGAUCGCUACCAUGUGGGGGGGUUCGAUACAAUACAAAACACCCAUGUUAUUUGCUGUAGGGUUCAUCUUUUUGUUCACCAUAGGAGGACUCACUGGAAUAGUCCUGGCAAAUUCUGGGCUAGACAUUGCUCUACAUGAUACUUAUUAUGUGGUUGCACAUUUCCAUUAUGUACUUUCUAUGGGAGCCGUUUUUGCUUUAUUUGCAGGAUUUUACUAUUGGGUGGGUAAAAUCUUUGGUCGGACAUACCCUGAAACUUUAGGUCAAAUCCAUUUUUGGAUCACUUUUUUCGGGGUUAAUCUGACCUUCUUUCCUAUGCAUUUCUUAGGGCUUUCGGGUAUGCCACGUCGCAUUCCAGAUUAUCCAGAUGCUUACGCUGGAUGGAAUGCCCUUAGCAGUUUUGGCUCUUAUAUAUCCGUAGUUGGGAUUUGUUGUUUCUUCGUGGUCGUAACAAUCACUUUAAGCAGUGGAAAUAACAAAAGAUGUGCUCCAAGUCCUUGGGCUGUUGAACAGAAUUCAACCACACUGGAAUGGAUGGUACAAAGUCCUCCAGCUUUUCAUACUUUUGGAGAACUUCCAGCUAUCAAGGAGACGAAAAGCUAUGUGAAGUAAAAG
rnacentral:misc_RNA from 1 species